AAUAUUUGACAAUGGGCGAAAGCCUGAUCCAGCCAUGCCGCGUGUUUGAAGAAGGUCUUCGGAUUGUAAAGCACUUUUAGUUGGGAGGAAGGGGUUGAAGCUAACACCUUCAAGCUUUGACGGUACCAACAGAAUAAGCACCGGCUACCUCUGUGCCAGCAGCCGCGGUACUACAGAAGGUGCAAGCGUCAAUCGGAAUUCCUGGGCGUAAAGCGGGCGGAGGUGGUUCAGUAAGAUGGAAGUGAAAAGCCCGGGCUUAAACUGGGAACUGCUAUCAGAACUGCUGAGCUAGAGUACGGUAGAGGGUAGUGGAAAUUCCUGUGUAGCGGUGAAAUGCGUAGAUAUAGGAAAGAACACCAGUGGCGAAGGCGACUACCUGGACUGAUACUGACACUGAGGUGCGAAAGCGUAGGGAGCAAACAGG
rnacentral:rRNA from 1 species